rnacentral:misc_RNA from 1 species
UCUCCGUUGGUGAACCAGCGGAGGGAUCAUUACUGGAAUCGCAAGAUCCCACAACCCUGUGAACCUACCGAAACGUUGCCUCGGCGGGUGCCCGGCCUCUGCGCCGGGCGCUGCGCCCGCCGGCGGCCCCCUACUCUGUCUCUGCGGCGUGGCAUCUCAGAGUCCCAGAAAACAAGUCAAAACUUUCAACAACGGAUCUCUUGGCUCUA